GACGAACGCUGGCGGCGUGCUUAACACAUGCAAGUCGAACGGAAAGGCCCUGCUUUUGUGGGGUGCUCGAGUGGCGAACGGGUGAGUAACACGUGAGUAACCUGCCCUUGACUUUGGUAUAACUUCAGGAAACUGGGGCUAAUACCGUAUAGGAGCUCCUGCUGCAUGGUGGGGGUUGGAAAUUUUCGGCGGUUGGGGAUGGACUCGCGGCUUAUCAGCUUGUUGGUGGGGUAGUGGCUUACCAAGGCUUUGACGGGUAGCCGGCCUGAGAGGGUGACCGGCCACAUUGGGACUGAGAUACGGCCCAGACUCCUACGGGAGGCAGCAGUGGGGAAUAUUGCACAAUGGGCGGAAGCCUGAUGCAGCAACGCCGCGUGCGGGAUGACGGCCUUCGGGUUGUAAACCGCUUUCGCCUGUGACGAAGCGUGAGUGACGGUAAUGGGUAAAGAAGCACCGGCUAACUACGUG
rnacentral:rRNA from 1 species